rnacentral:rRNA from 1 species
GGGUGUGAUCAUACCAGUACUAAUGCAUCGAAUCCCAUCAGAACUCCACAGUUAAGGGUGAUUAAGUGAGAGUAGUACUAGGAUGGGCGACCUCCUUGGAAGUCCUAUUGUUGCACUUU